rnacentral:rRNA from 1 species
UACAGGGGGUGCAAACGUUGCUCGGAAUUAUUGGGCGUAAAGAGCUCGUAGGCGGUUCGGUAAGUCAGCUGUGAAAUCUCCACGCUCAACGUGGAGGGGUCAGCUGAUACUGCCGUGACUUGAGUCUGGUAGGGGAGUGCGGAAUUCCCGGUGUAGCGGUGAAAUGCGCAGAUAUCGGGAGGAACACCAGUGGCGAAGGCGGCACUCUGGGCCAGUACUGACGCUGAGGAGCGAAAGCGUGGGGAGCGAACAGG